GUUCUCACUUCAGCACAUACACGAAAAAUUGGAAUAAUACAGAGAAGAUUAGCAUGACUCCUGCACAAGAAUGACACACAAAUUUGUGAAGCAUUCAUAUUUUUU
rnacentral:snRNA from 1 species